ACUUUAUUCAGAGUAGGUGGAGGGACCGAGCCCGACGAAACCCGGCAACCGGCUAGUUAACUAGUACGGUGCUAAUUCUCGCAGCAUUUGCUGACAGAUAAGGU
rnacentral:ncRNA from 2 species